UACGUAGGGUGCAAGCGUUGUCCGGAAUUAUUGGGCGUAAAGAGCUCGUAGGCGGUCUGUCGCGUCGGCUGUGAAAUCCCGGAGCUCAACUCCGGGUCUGCAGUCGAUACGGGCAAACUGGAGUACUGCAGGGGAGACUGGAAUUCCUGGUGUAGCAGUGAAAUGCGCAGAUAUCAGGAGGAACACCGGUGGCGAAGGCGGGUCUCUGGGCCGAUACUGACGCUGAGGAGCGAAAGCAUGGGUAGCGAACAGG
rnacentral:rRNA from 1 species